rnacentral:rRNA from 1 species
AAGCACCACAACAGGUGGAGCCUGCGGUUUAAUCGGACUCAACGCCGGGAAACUCACCAGAUAAGACAGCUGAAUGAUAGUCGGGCUGAAGACUCUACUUGACUAGCUGAGAGGAGGUGCAUGGCCGUCGUCAGUUCGUACUGUGAAGCAUCCUGUUAAGUCAGGCAACGAGCGAGACCCACGCCAACAGUUGCCAGCUCGUCCUCCGGGAUGGUGGGGACACUGUUGGGACCGCCUCUGCUAAAGAGGAGGAAGGAAUGGGCAACGGUAGGUCAGCAUGCCCCGAAUUAUCUGGGCUACACGCGGGCUACAAUGGGUGGGACAAUGGGUAUCGACACCGAAAGGUGAAGGGCAAUCUCCUAAACCCAUCCGUAGUUCGGAUUGUGGGCUGCAACUCGCCCACAUGAAGCUGGAAUCUGUAGUAAUCGUGUCUCAAAAUGGCGCGGUGAAUAUGUCCCUGCUCCUU